AUUGAACGCUAGCGGGAUGCUUUACACAUGCAAGUCGAACGAGUGGCGGACGGGUGUGUAAUAUAUCGGAACGUGCCCAGUAGCGGGGGAUAACUACUCGAAAGAGUGGUUAAUACCGCAUACUAUUGGAGCUGCCGAUAUAGGAUUGGCCAUUUGGUGGAGUAAAGGCUCACCAAUGCAACGAUCCGUAGUUGGUUUGAGAGGACGACCAGCCACACUGGGACUGAGACACGGCCUAGACUCCGACGGUAGGCAUCAGUUGGAAAUUUUGGACAAAGGGGGAAACCCUGAUCCAGCCAUCCCGCUUGUAUGAGAAGGCCUUCGGGUUGUAAAGUACUUUUGGCAGAGAAGCGGUAUCUGCAGAAUAAGCACCGGCUAACUACGUGCCAGCAGCCGCGGUAAUUC
rnacentral:rRNA from 1 species